GACGAACGCUGGCGGCGUGCUUAACACAUGCAAGUCGAACGAUGAAGAAAAGAAUUGAAGCUUCGGCAGAAAUUCAUUUCGGAUUAGUGGCAGACGGGUGAGUAACGCGUGAGCAACCUACCUCUUACAAAGGGAUAGCCUCGGGAAACCGGGAUUAAUACCAUAUAACAUUGCGACGAAGCAUUUCGAUGCAAUCAAAGCUACGGCGGUAAGAGAUGGGCUCGCGUCCCAUUAACCAGAUGGUGAGGUAACGGCUCACCAUAGUAACGAUGGGUAACCGGCCUGAGAGGGUGAACGGUCACACUGGAACUGAGACACGGUCCAGACUCCUACGGGAGGCAGCAGUGGGGAAUAUUGCACAAUGGAGGGAACUCUGAUGCAGCGACGCCGCGUGAGUGAUGAAGGAAUUCGUUUCGUAAAACUCUGUUCUAUGGGAAGAAAAGGACUGUACCAUAGGAGAAAGCUCCGGCUAAAUACGUG
rnacentral:rRNA from 1 species